rnacentral:rRNA from 1 species
CCUACGGGGGGCUGCAGUGGGGAAUAUUGGACAAUGGGGGCAACCCUGAUCCAGCCAUGCCGCGUGUGUGAAGAAGGCCCUCGGGUUGUAAAGCACUUUCAGUGAGGAAGAACGCCUGGUGGUUAAUACCCAUCAGGAAAGACAUCACUCACAGAAGAAGCACCGGCUAACUCCGUGCCAGCAGCCGCGGUAAUACGGAGGGUGCGAGCGUUAAUCGGAAUUACUGGGCGUAAAGCGCGCGUAGGUGGCUUGAUAAGCCGGUUGUGAAAGCCCCGGGCUCAACCUGGGAACGGCAUCCGGAACUGUCAAGCUAGAGUGCAGGAGAGGAAGGUGGAAUUCCCGGUGUAGCGGUGAAAUGCGUAGAGAUCGGGAGGAAUACCAGUGGCGAAGGCGGCCUUCUGGACUGACACUGACACUGAGGUGCGAAAGCGUGGGUAGCAAACAGGAUUAGAUACCCUGGUAGUC